rnacentral:rRNA from 1 species
GACGAACGCUGGCGGCGUGCUUAACACAUGCAAGUCGAACGGAAAGGCCCUGCUUUUGUGGGGUGCUCGAGUGGCGAACGGGUGAGUAACACGUGAGUAACCUGCCCUUGACUUUGGGAUAACUUCAGGAAACUGGGGCUAAUACCGGAUAGGAGCUCCUGCUGCAUGGUGGGGGUUGGAAAGUUUCGGCGGUUGGGGAUGGACUCGCGGCUUAUCAGCUUGUUGGUGGGGUAGUGGCUUACCAAGGCUUUGACGGGUAGCCGGCCUGGGAGGGUGACCGGCCACAUUGGGCCUGAGAUACGGCCCAGACUCCUACGGGAGGCAGCAGUGGGGAAUAUUGCACAAUGGGCGGAAGCCUGAUGCAGCGACGCCGCGUGCGGGAUGACGGCCUUCGGGUUGUAAACCGCUUUCGCCUGUGACGAAGCGUGAGUGACGGUAAUGGGUAAAGAAGCACCGGCUAACUACGUG